rnacentral:tRNA from 1 species
UCCCUGGUGGCUCAAAUGGUAGAGAAUCUGCCUGUGAUGCAGAAGACUUGGGUUCGAUCUCUGGUCAGGAAG